UACGUAGGGGGCAAGCGUUGUCCGGAAUCAUUGGGCGUAAAGAGCGUGUAGGCGGCCCGAUAAGUCCGCCGUGAAAGUCCAGGGCUCAACCCUUGAAAGCCGGUUGAUACUGUCGGGCUAGAGUCCGGAAGAGGCGAGUGGAAUUCCCGGUGUAGCGGUGAAAUGCGCAGAUAUCGGGAGGAACACCAAUGGCGAAGGCAGCUCGCUGGGACGGUACUGACGCUGAGACGCGAAAGCGUGGGGAGCAAACAGG
rnacentral:rRNA from 1 species